CCUGUGACAUAUGGAAGUUCCCAGGCCAGGGAUCGAAUCCUAGCUGCAGCUACAGUAACUCACUGUGCUGAGCCAGGGAUUGAACCAGCACUGCUGCAGAGACACCACCAGAUCCUUAACCGAGUGCACCACAGUGGGAACUCCAAUCAAAUAUUUAAAUAGGAAAUGAUUAAUACUUUCUUAUUACAAUUUAUAUAUAUAAAUAUAUACAUAUGCUUAGCCUCCAAAUCAGCAUCUGAUAAGAGGGGGAAUACCUGAAGUCAAGUUUAAGGCAUGGACUCCCAUUAUUUCUACCACUUAUUAUGAUUGGAGGUAUUAGCAAACAUAAUUAGUAAAAAAAAAAGAAUUGGAAAGGAAAAGAUAAAAUUAUCUCUAUUUGCUGAAGACAUGAUAGAAUACCUAGAAAACUAGAAUAUAAAAACAUAUAAAAAUCAACACAAAAGAAAAGAAACCAAGAUUAAAUGCUUGAGUAUAAACUUAGAAAUUUGCAACACUUACAUGAAUGAAAGUUUAAAACUAACUCCUGAUGGACUGAGAAAUUCAAGAGUAAAUUUGACUAAGCGGAAUGAUGUCUCUCGUUCUUGGUCAAUUCAUCAUCAUAAAAAUAUUAGCUCUCUCCAAGUUAAUAUGUACGUUUAACCUGAAACCAAUAAAAGUUUGGAUUGAAAUAGGGUCUACUCAAGGUAACUGACUGAUAUCUUUUAAGUCUCUUCCUAUUUACAGCGCUUCUUAGUCUCUCACCCUUUCCCUUUUCCUCACACUAAGACCACCAUCCCCAGGUAAUCUCUCUAGCAAGACAGACCUCAUUAUGCGAUGGCUGUUUUCUGAGAACAAGGAGGAGGCAGCAAGAUCUUUAAGAUGCAGCCUUGCAAGCUGCGUGUCACUUCUGACACAUAUUAUUAAUCAUAGUCAGUCACUGGGCCAGCCCAGAUUCAAGGAAAAGGGAAAUAGACUCUUAUCUCAAUUUGAAAAACUGGCAAAGUAACAUUGUAAAAAAUAAAAAAGCAUGUGGGAUGGGAACUACUGUUACAGCCAUCUUUGCAAACACAAUCUACCAUAAAAUGCAAAUGAAAACUACAAAAAAACUUUCGCAUCCAUCAAAUUGCAAAAAUCUAAAAGUUGACAGUGGCAGGCUCGAAAGAAAUAGGCAAUCUCAUGCACUGCAGGUGGAAGUAGAGUGUGGUAAAGGCGCUAUGCAAGGGAAUCUGACAAUAAUUACCCUUUGACAGCAAUCAAUCAUAAUCCUACUUCUACCUACUUGAAUAGAAUAUGUACAUAUGCUGGUUGCGUUAACUUCACUUUUCUUUUCCUUGACCCAUAAGAGUAAGCAGUACAGAAGCUAUGAUUUUCAUUCUUUUAAAAUAACUAAAAGCAUCAUCAACUGAUAUGCUGAGCACCAUUGCUGGUCUUAUAUUCUGAUAAACAGAGGAACUCACGGUAUAUCUGAUAAGGUCUGAUUCUGCAAGUAACUUAAUAUUCUGCAUAUUUAUGUAAAGAUGAACUUUAGCUUCCAAGUUAUUCUUAAAUUAAUAUGUAAUGAAAUCAUUUGUCUGGGUAUUUCCUAUGCAUUCCCGUUAAUCUCCUAAUGACUUUAUAUUAGGCAUUGCACCUCACACUCCAAAAUUAGUAACAGACUUAUCAGAACUAUUUUCACAUAUACAUAUACUCCAUGUACACCUGAACAUAAGCAGGUUUAUUUCUAACUAUCCCUCAGAAGUCUUCUUUGUUGAGGCCUCACAAAAUCUCUUUACAAGGAGUACUCUCAAUUAUUUAUUUGAAUUUCAGGUAAUAGUUGGGAAAUCACAUUAGACUGAAGCCACUUCUAUCAAUGUUACUUUCAGAAAGCUAAAAAUAAAUAAAUAAAUAAAUAAGCCACCAGGUGAAGUAUUUAAAAACAAGACAUCUUAGUUCCCAUUGUGGCUGAAUGGGUUAAGAACCCAAAUAGUAUCCAUGAGGAUGGGGGUUUGAUCCCUGGCCUUGCUCAGUGGGUUAAGGAUCCGGUGUUACUGUGAGCUGCAGCACAGGCCACAGAUGACGCUGGGAUCUGGUGUUGCUGUGGCUGUGGCAUAUGCCUUAGCUGCAGCUCCGAUUCAACCCCAGCCUGGGAACUUACAUAUGCCACAGGUGUGGCCCUGAAAAGAAAAAUAAUAAUAAAAAAAAAGAGAUAAAGAAAUAUAACAAUGACUUAGUUAUUAUUCUUAGAGACAUGAUCUCAAAAACAAGCAUAGUAUGCAUUACAACAAGCAUUUUAAAGAUCACUUUUGGCACAACACGGUAAAUCAAUUAUACUCUAAUUUUUAAAAAGUAAAAAAAUAAAGAUCACUUUUAAGAACAAUAGAAGUGGUUAUACAAUGCAGAAAUUAAUUACCUACAGGAUGCAUGAAAACCAUUUCUAAUUUGAUAUUUAUACAAUGAAUAAUCUGAAGCAUGAAAUUUCUUUUAUCAUACCUGUGUAAAACAUUCCUAUCUUUCAAAACAAAUUAUUUUUCCUAUUAUAGUUGCUUUAUAAUGUUCUGCCAAUUUCUGCUGUACAGCAGAGACCGUCACACACACACGCACACAUUCUUUUUCUUACAUUAUCCUCCAUCAUGUUCCAUCACAAGUGA
rnacentral:lncRNA from 1 species